CGCCGAGACAGUGGAAGCCAGUGAACAGCUCCUUCACUUGCCUGUCUCCAGGAGGAAAGUGCUGCCCAGCCGAGGAAGAGCAGGCACCAGCCUAAAGCUGGGUGGCACCGUCUCAGCCCAAGGCCUAUCUGUGCUCACAGGGUGUGAGUGCCUCUGCCUCUUCGGGGGACUCUGGAUGGGAUCCUGCCCAGCAAGAAGCAGAAGAUCCUGUUCUGCCUGAACAUGCACUUGUGGCUGUCCUCCCGGUAACAUCUGGAAAUGGCUCAGAACCUGAAGGUGGGGACCACCUGAGAACCUGUACACCAGGUGGCCUAGGUCAUGCAUGAAGAGGCCGGCAGGGCUGGCAUGGCAGCAUUAAAGGAGACCCUCAGAGCCACUGGCUGGCACACAGGACCAGGGAGGACAGUCCUAAUAUCCCUGAUUACUUUCCAUGGCUCUGCCAAGCCCAGCUCCAGGUGCCUCUUUCUACCGCGCCCACUGAUCCAGACCCCAUCACAUGCGUCCCACUGGGCGCUGUACUGGUUGGACUUCAUUCUUCUGGUCUCUGCAGGAUAUUGCUGAAUGGUGGCCCCAAAGACAUGUGCAUAUCCCAGUGCCCAGAACCUUGGAAUGGGGCUUUAUUUGAAAAAAAAAAGGUCUUCAAUGAUGUUAUCAGAUUAAGGAUUCUAAAUUGAAGUCACCCUG